UACAGAGGGGGCAAGCGUUAUUCGGAAUUAUUGGGCGUAAAGGGCGCGUAGGCGGCCUGGCAAGUGGAAGGUGAAAUCCCUCGGCUUAACCGAGGAACUGCCUCCCAAACUGCUUGGCUUGAGACCAGGAGAGGUGAGUGGAAUUCCCAGUGUAGCGGUGAAAUGCGUAGAUAUUGGGAGGAACACCAGUGGCGAAGGCGGCUCACUGGACUGGUACUGACGCUGAGGAGCGAAAGCCAGGGGAGCAAACGGG
rnacentral:rRNA from 1 species